rnacentral:tRNA from 1 species
GGGCCUGUAGCUCAACGGCAGAGCGUUGCAUUCGCAUUGCAGAGAUAUGAGUUCAAUUCUCAUCAGGUCCA